AGCAUCAUCAAAAGUGAGCUUACCAAGGUAGCAAGGCAAGGUUAACAUCCCUUUAGACUCAAGCUUAGGGAGGGACUUUAGAGGGAUUGGUGGAUCAAUCUUCAGAAUGGAGAUGUCCAAAAGCUCGGCCACUUCAGCUCGGUGGUCUAGAAUGUCGUUGAUGAGCAUCAUCUGGACAUGGGCUUCACGCAUACCCGAGAUUUCUGGAAGCCUGACCCCAACAUCACUAAGAUCUUUCCUGAACUUGGAGAGCACCUUAUUCAGAGCUUUGGUGAGAACUCUUUGGGGGGAAAUGGAGCUUAUCAUAGGGUGAUAGCUCAACCUCAGUGGCUUUCUCUAGCUUAACCUCUUUCAGCUUGUUGUCAGCUCUCUUCUCAACUUGUUUCUUAGCCUUGUGCUCAG
rnacentral:lncRNA from 1 species